GUUGUAAACUUUUUGGUCAGAAUGAAGGUAACAUUUGAAACCUUUGAUAUAAAAUCUUCUCUACAAUAAUCUAAUAAUACUAAGAUAAAGAGUAUUACUUUUAUUACAGAUAGAUUUGUCAUAAACGGUAUCUCGCUGGUUUAAAGAUGAGCUCAAACUGCAAGCAAACCCCUCCUAAUAAGCCCUCUUCACUGCUGACACAAGAGGAAAAUGAUAUAAUCUUUCAUCUGCUUGGUGCAAGGUGCCAGACACUGAGCACAGCUGUUGUCCAGGUGUUUGGCACUGAUGGACCUCAUCAUAAUUCAUGGCGCAAGCGGUACUUUGGUACUGCCAUCUUCACUAAGGACAAUGUGCAAAGAUCAUAUUACAUACAGGUGUAUGAUAUUGUGGUUGCAAAGCGAGUCUUUGAACAGGAGCUGUAUAAUCAGUUUACUUAUUCAGCCUCAAUGCCUUUCUUCCACCAGUUUGAAGCAGAAGUAGGUUGUAUAUUUUUAUUGUUUUUCUCUCCUUUUUAAUUAGUAUAGUAUAGUAUACCUUACUGAGGGAAGAAACCUUUAUGAACAAGUCCUGAAACAGAGUGAUAUAUAUUUUGUGAUUUGUUGAAUUGAAAAAAAUUUGUGUGGUAAGUAAGUAAGUAAGUUUAUUCAGGUAUACACAAAUACAGUUACAUAGAAUUAUCAUACAUAGCAGCAUAUGUGUAGAGAACCUAGGAUAAUCUGAAUAUAAUACAAAAAAUAUUCUUAAAUCUUUGUAAAUAAUUUACAACUUUUUUAAUAAUUUUAUAGCAAUCAGAAUUUAUAAAUUAUUUUAUUAUUAAAAUACAUAACUGAUAUUCAUGCCAUAGAUAUGAUGAUUUAUCUUACAUAAUGUGUAAUAAGCAGAAUUUCAUAUUAUAGGAACAUUAUUUGUACAUCAGCUUGAAACAUGAAAUGAUAAGGAAACCACAGACUGAUAAUUAUUGCAACUCAAACAUCACUUGUUUAAAAUAUCCACACUGUGCUUCAGUAUUACUAACAAUGAGGUUGUGUUAGUGAUGCUACUGAGCAAAACAUUCAUUAACUAAUUUAAUUAGUGUUAUUGCAAUAGCAAGUGCAUUGUGGCCAAGAUGAAACGUUGCACCAGUGAUAGUCUUCUUUGUAUGUCCUUCAUCAAGAUUGAAGGCUUUGAUGAAACUGAUGGAGUCAAAUUCUUAAUGAACCACGAGAAGACAAGCAACUCAGCGGAUGGUGAGACCAUUGGAUAUUCCUGUUGUUGUUUCCACUUUGCCUUGUUCCAGUUUGAACUUUUCAUAUUGUUAGAUAAUGAAAUAAAUACUAAAUAUCUCUCAUAAUGCUGUAAGGGCAACAUUGAGAUUAUAAAAACGAUAUAGAUAAAAUAGGUGUGACUUGGAGGAAAAAAGCCAUAAGGUAAAAUAGGUUGUGUCUUGUAGGGAAGAAGCCAUGGAUGACCAGCCACUGGAUACAGUUAUUUUGUACCUGCACAGAAUGAACUCUGCCAUGCAUUAGUUUUUUUUUUUUUAUUAACACAUCUGUUCCCCACCAAGACAGGGUGACCCAAAAAAAAAAGAAGAAACAGAAUAAUUCUUCAUUUUACAUUUGGCAGCUUGUACAGGAGAAGGGGGUUACUAGCCCCUUGCUCCCAGCAUUUUAGUCGCCUCUUACGACAUGUGUGGCUUGCACUCUCGAUUUAACAAGCUUUGAUUUAGCGUACUUUAGAAAUACAGGAAAAAUCCGCUGGGUCAUUUGAUUUGGAAACUAUGGACAAUAUUUGUUGUUUACAGGAUUGUACAAUAUUGUUACGACCAUGGCAAAACGAUCUCAUCUCUAUCGAUCACAAUCACCAUUGCAUUACUGGUCACUACCUUUAUACCUUUGAAGAGUUUUGAGAGUUUCACUACUCUUGGAGCCCGGCCAUGGUGCUUGCCUGGUCAACCAGGCUGUUGCUGCUAGAGGUCUGCUGUCCCACAUAUCCAUCACAGCCUGGUUGAUAUGGCACCUGGUGAAGAUACUUGUCCAGUUUCCUCUUGAAGGCUUCUACACUUGUUCGAGCCUUGUUUUCAAUAUCUUCUGGUAAGAUGUUGAAUAGUCUGGGACCCCCAGAUGUACUAGUUCCUAUCCCGAAUUCAGUUAAAUCAACUGAUUAAUAGGUGGGAGCAUCUCUCCAUAUUUCUUUUCUCAUCAGUUGUUCUAGGCUAUACAUGCAUCCCAGAAUAGUUCACUUCUAGGCUAUACAUGCAUCCUAGAAUAGCCCACUUCUAGGCUAUACAUGCAUCCCAGGAUAGUUCACUUCUAGGCUAUACAUGCAUCCCAGAAUAGUCCACCUCUAGGCUAUACAUGCAUCCCAGGAUAGUUCAUUUCUAGGCUAUACAUGUAUCCCAGAAUAGUCCAUUUCUAGGCUAUACAUGCAUCUCAGAAUAGUUCACUUCUAGGCUAUACAUGCAUCCCAGAAUAGUCCACUUCUGUGAGUGAAGAGUGGAUGCCAGGUGUAUUGUUCUUGCAGGUCACAAACUGAAUAAGACCAGGACACAUAAGGUACUUGGGGCAGUACAAAAUUAUACAGUAUUUUUUUUUAUUUUACCUUUACUCAUGCUGGAUACAAAGAUGUUGAAAUUUUCCAUAUGCAGUACUGUAUUUAUAUUUUGUCUUAGUUUUAUGGACUUGUUACAUUAUUUUGUAUGUUGCAUACAAACUUCUAAUUUGGCAGUUUCCAUUUGACUUCAACUCUACAAUUAGCACAGUAUAAUGAGCCUCAUAAUUCAAAAAGUGUUUUACUCUGCAUUUGCAGGAGUCAAGUUUAUUAUUGAGUUUUAUUUGGCACUGUAGAGAGAAGAUGGCAAAGUGAGCACCAUCAGAGACGACGACGACAGCAGCAGCAGCAGCCGCAGCAGCCGCAGCAGCCGCAGCAGCCGCCACCGCCGCAGCAGCAGCAGCAGCAGCAGCAGCAACAGCAGCCGCCGCCUCAGUCAUAAUUUGUGCCCCCAUAUGUUCCUCCCUACAAGGACCCCAAAAAGAAAAACAAUAAAAAGGGAAAUAAAAAUCGAAACAAGCUCAGCAAACACGAGAUUGGCAUGCCAAUGGAUUUCAAACACCACUCAUGUUGGCUUCAAUCCUGACACUGGAUUUUCUCAGUUCAGUGUGGAUGACAAGCUUGAAGGCUUCUUUAACAUGGUUGGAGUCAGUCAGCAGCAGCUGUCGGACACACGCACAAGGGAGUUCAUUUAUGACUUCAUUGAGAGAAAUGGUGGCGUUGAGAAGGCCAUGCAGUAAACCCAGCGAUAUGCGUCUAUGCUUUUGGGCACCACACACACCGAUAACUCAUCCUCACCACCACCCCCACCUACUAUAGCUGCACCACCUCCAAUACCCCCAACUAUCCCCUCUCAUAACUCAAUUUCUGGCUCCUGGGCUGCUCCACCACCUCCACCUCCACAUACUAAUAAUCAUGGUCAUCCUCCUCCUACAUCUGCUCCACCCCCACCACCCCCACAUCCUCGAGGCCCUAUGCCACCUCCGCCUCCAGGGCAGAUAGUAGCAGGUACGAUUGUUUUAUGUUUGCUUUAUUGUGUGAUAUUGUACUGCAGUAUAUUUUAUACCAGCCAUUUAAAUGAUGAAAAAACUAGUAAUUUGUGUAUCAUUUUAAUUCUUAUUGUUUUAAACAUUUUGGGACAGAAUUUAUUUAAUAACACUAUUUAUAUCCCUUUAUUUCAGAUUUUCUUGUGUAUUAGUUAAGAUAAGAUAACCUGGAGUUUACCUGGAGAGAGUUUCGGGGGUCAACGCCCCCGCGGCCCGGUCUGUGACCAGGCCUCCUGGUGGAUCAGCGCCUGAUCAACCAGGCUGUUGCUGCUGGCUGCACGCAAACCAACGUACGAGAUUUCGUUCAGAUUUUUAACCCCGGAGGGUUAGCCACCCAGGAUAACCCAAGAAAGUCAGUGCGUCAUCGAGGACUGUCUAACUUAUUUCCAUUGGGGUCCUUAAUCUUGUCCCCCAGGAUGCGACCCACACCAGUCGACUAACACCCAGGUACCUAUUUGCUGCUAGGUGAACAGGACAACAGGUGUAAGGAAACGUGUCGAAAUGUUUCCACCCGCCGGGAAUCGAACCCGAGCCCUCCGUGUGUGAAGCGGGAGCUUUAGCCACCAGGCCACCGGGCCUAUUUUACAUUAAUGUAUAAUAGUAUAUGUUUUUGGUGAAGCUGCUGUUUUAUAUACAAUACAGUAGAUGUAGCCACAAAAUAUUAUUUUGAUCUACAUCCUCUCCCUCAGGACAAAAGACUGCACCCCUACCUCCCAUUCCUGCCUCCAGUCUUUGUCCACCACCCCCUCCAACUCUACCAUUCCCACUUUCCACCAUGGAAAUAAGGCAGCUGCUCUGCUUCCUCCACCUCCUGCACCUCCAACUAAUGGAGUUCCUCCCGCUCCACCUCCUCCUUUCCCUCGUGGUGGACUUCAUACUGGUGGUGUUAAUAUGGAUGCCCGUUCAGCACUUCUGGACCAGAUUCGUACUGUGCCCACAUUAAAGGUAGUAUUUGGAAAAACUUGGCUAUCUGUGUCUUGGUUUUAUGUAAAGAUUAAUCUUUUCUGUAUUUGUAAUAACUUUUUGGAGAUUUUUUGUGGGAGACUGUGGAAGAUGGCCGACUUGUUGAAAAAAAGAAAAAAAAAAUUCUAAGAUUCCAUGCAUGUCGUAAGAGGCGACUAAAAUGCCAGGAGCAAGGGGCUAGUGACCCCUUCUCCUGUAUACAUUACUAAAUUUCUAAAGAGAAACUUGUGUUUUUCUUUUUGGGCCACCCUGCUUUGGUGGGAUAUGGCCAGUGCAUUUAAAGAAGAAUAAUUUCUAAGAUUACUAGACAUUUAAAUCUUAUCUGAAACUUUUUUUUUUUUUUUAUCACACUGGCCGAUUCCCACCAAGGCAGGGUGGCCCGAAAAAGAAAAACUUUCACCAUCAUUCACUCCAUCACUGUCUUGCCAGAAGGGUGCUUUACACUACAGUUUUUAAACUGCAACAUUAACACCCCUCCUUCAGAGUGCAGGCACUGUACUUCCCAUCUCCAGGACUCAAGUCCGGCCUGCCGGUUUCCCUGAACCCCUUCAUAAAUGUUACUUUGCUCACACUCCAACAGCACGUCAAGUAUUAAAAACCAUUUGUCUCCAUUCACGCCUAUCAAACACGCUCACGCAUGCCUGCUGGAAGUCCAAGCCCCUCGCACACAAAACCUCCUUUACCCCCUCUCUCCAACCUUUCCUAGGCCGACCCCUACCCCGCCUUCCUUCCACUACAGACUGAUACACUCUUGAAGUCAUUCUGUUUCGCUCCAUUCUCUCUACAUGUCCGAACCACCUCAACAACCCUUCCUCAGCCCUCUGGACAACAGUUUUGGUAAUCCCGCACCUCCUCCUAACUUCCAAACUACGAAUUCUCUGCAUUAUAUUCACACCACACAUUGCCCUCAGACAUGACAUCUCCACUGCCUCCAGCCUUCUCCUCGCUGCAACAUUCAUCACCCAUGCCUCACACCCAUAUAAGAGCGUUGGUAAAACUAUACUCUCAUACAUUCCCCUCUUUGCCUCCAAGGACAAAGUUCUUUGUCUCCACAGACUCCUAAGUGCACCACUCACUCUUUUCCCCUCAUCAAUUCUAUGAUUCACCUCAUCUUUCAUAGGACCCAUCCGCUGACACGUCCACUCCCAAAUAUCUGAAUACAUUCACCUCCUCCAUACUCUCUCCCUCCAAUCUGAUAUUCAAUCUUUCAUCACCUAAUCUUUUUGUUAUCCUCAUAACCUCACUCUUUCCUGUAUUCGCCUUUAAUUUUCUUCUUUUGCACACCCUACCAAAUUCAUCCACCAAUCUCUGCAACUUCUCUUCAGAAUCUCCCAAGAGCACAGUGUCAUCAGCAAACAGCAGCUGUGACAACUCCCACUUUGUGUGUGAUUCUUUAUCUUUUAACUCCACGCCUCUUCUCGCAUUUACUUCUCUUACAACCCCAUCUAUAAAUAUAUUAAACAACCACGGUGACAUCACACAUCCUUGUCUAAGGCCUACUUUUACUGGGAAAAAAUUUCCCUCUUUCCUACAUACUCUAACUUGAGCCUCACUAUCCUCGUAAAAACUCUUCACUGCUUUCAGUAACCUACCUCCUACACCAUACACUUGCAACAUCUGCCACAUUGCCCCCCUAUCCACCCUGUCAUACGCCUUUUCCAAAUCCAUAAAUGCCACAAAGAUCUCUUUAGCCUUAUCUAAAUACUGUUCACUUAUAUGUUUCAC